GGUGCUAACGUCCGUCGUGAAGAGGGAAACAACCCAGACCGCCAGCUAAGGUCCCAAAGUCAUGGUUAAGUGGGAAACGAUGUGGGAAGGCCCAGACAGCCAGGAUGUUGGCUUAGAAGCAGCCAUCAUUUAAAGAAAGCGUAAUAGCUCACUGGUCGAGUCGGCCUGCGCGGAAGAUGUAACGGGGCUAAACCAUGCACCGAAGCUGCGGCAGCGACACUGUGUGUUGUUGGGUAGGGGAGCGUUCUGUAAGCCUGUGAAGGUGUGUCGUGAGGCAUGCUGGAGGUAUCAGAAGUGCGAAUGCUGACAUAAGUAACGAUAAAGCGGGUGAAAAGCCCGCUCGCCGGAAGACCAAGGGUUCCUGUCCAACGUUAAUCGGGGCAGGGUGAGUCGACCCCUAAGGCGAGGCCGAAAGGCGUAGUCGAUGGGAAACGGGUUAAUAUUCCCGUACUUGGUGUUACUGCGAAGGGGGGACGGAGAAGGCUAUGUUGGCCGGGCGACGGUUGUCCCGGUUUAAGCGUGUAGGUGUGUGUUCCAGGUAAAUCCGGUUCACUUUAACACUGAGGCGUGACGACGAGGCACUACGGUGCUGAAGCAACAAAUGCCCUGCUUCCAGGAAAAGCCUCUAAGCAUCAGGUAACAUCAAAUCGUACCCCAAACCGACACAGGUGGUCAGGUAGAGAAUACCAAGGCGCUUGAGAGAACUCGGGUGAAGGAACUAGGCAAAAUGGUGCCGUAACUUCGGGAGAAGGCACGCUGACACGUAGGUGAAGUGAUUUACUCAUGGAGCUGAAGUCAGUCGAAGAUACCAGCUGGCUGCAACUGUUUAUUAAAAACACAGCACUGUGCAAACACGAAAGUGGACGUAUACGGUGUGACGCCUGCCCGGUGCCGGAAGGUUAAUUGAUGGGGUCAGCGCAAGCGAAGCUCCUGAUCGAAGCCCCGGUAAACGGCGGCCGUAACUAUAACGGUCCUAAGGUAGCGAAAUUCCUUGUCGGGUAAGUUCCGACCUGCACGAAUGGCGUAAUGAUGGCCAGGCUGUCUCCACCCGAGACUCAGUGAAAUUGAACUCGCUGUGAAGAUGCAGUGUACCCGCGGCAAGACGGAAAGACCCCGUGAACCUUUACUAUAGCUUGACACUGAACAUUGAGCCUUGAUGUGUAG
rnacentral:rRNA from 3 species